rnacentral:tRNA from 1 species
AGAUUUGUGGCACAAUGAUAGUGCAUCUGAUUUCAGAUCAGAAAGAUGCAUUUACGAUCCACAUCGGAUCUA